rnacentral:rRNA from 1 species
GACGUAGGUGGCGAGCGUUACCCGGAUUCACUGGGCGUAAAGGGCGCGUAGGCGGUUUGGCAAGUCGUCUGUGAAAGCCCCCGGCUCAACUGGGGGAGGCCGUCCAAUACUGGGGGGCUUGAGUGCAGGAGAGGGAAGUGGAAUUCCCGGUGUAGCGGUGAAAUGCGUAGAUAUCGGGAAGAACACCAGUGGCGAAGGCGGCUUCCUGGACUGUAACUGACGCUGAGGCGCGAAAGCUGGGGGAGCGAACAGGAUUAGAUACCGCGUAGUCC